rnacentral:tRNA from 1 species
GCUCUAAUAAUUUAAUUAAAAUAUUGGUCUUGUAAACCAAAAUUAAGGAAACUUUUAGAACU